rnacentral:ncRNA from 1 species
UGGCAUAAAAAUUAAACGGGAAACAGGUGAAAAACCUGUACUGCCCCCGCAACGGUAACUGUGAACCGCAACUUAUAACCACUGUGUAUUAGCAUGGGAAGGUGUUGUCAGGUAAUGAUCAGGAGUCCGGAGACCGGCCUGAUUAAGUUA